UACGUAGACCUCAAGCGUUAUCCGGAUUUAUUGGGCGUAAAGCGUAUGUAGGAGGUUUUGCGCGUCCUUGGUUAAAGCCCACCGCUCAACGGUGGAAAUGCCCGGGAUACGGCAGAACUAGAGGGAGUUAGAGGUACAUGGAACCCACGGUGUAGGGGUGAAAUCCGUUGAUAUCGUGGGGAACACCAAAGGCGAAGGCAGUGUACUGGGACUUUCCUGACUCUGAGAUACGAAAGCGUGGGGAGCAAAAAGG
rnacentral:rRNA from 1 species